rnacentral:rRNA from 1 species
UACGGAGGGGGUUAGCGUUGUUCGGAAUUACUGGGCGUAAAGCGCGCGUAGGCGGACCAGAAAGUUGGGGGUGAAAUCCCGGGGCCCAACCCCGGAACGGCCUCCAAAACUCCUGGUCUUGAGUUCGAGAGAGGUGAGUGGAAUUCCGAGUGUAGAGGUGAAAUUCGUAGAUAUUCGGAGGAACACCAGUGGCGAAGGCGGCUCACUGGCUCGAUACUGACGCUGAGGUGCGAAAGUGUGGGGAGCAAACAGG